rnacentral:lncRNA from 1 species
CUCGAGCCCCUUCAAGCUCUUCCAGUUCUUUCUCUGAUUCCUUCAACGGGGGUCCUAUUCUCAGUUCAGUGGUUUGCUGCUGGCAUUCGCCUCUGUAUUUGCUGUAUUCUGGCUGUGUCUCUCAGGAGCGAUCUACAUCCAGCUCCUGUCGGUCUGCACUUCUUUGCUUCAUCCAUCUUGUCUAAUUGGGUGGCUGUAUAUGUAUGGGCCAAAUGUGGGGCAGGCUCUGAAUGGGUGUUCCUUCAGUCUAUGUUUUAAUCUUUGCCUCUCUCUUCCCUGCCAAGGGUAUUCUUGUUCCCCUUUUAAAGAAGGAGUGAGCAAAUCACUCUUUGUAUUUCUAUAAAGAAUUGAGUAGGAUUUUGAUGGGGAUUGUAUUGAAUCUGUAGAUUGCUUUUGGCUAAAUGACCAUGUUUUCUAUAUUAAUCCUACCAUUCCAUGUGCACAGAACCCUCAAUUUCUUUCUUUAGAGACUUCAAGUUCUUGUCACACAGAUCUUUUACUUGCUUGGUUAAAGUCACACCAAGAUAUUUUAUAUAAUUUGGGACUAUUAUGAAGGA